UACAGAGGGGGCAAGCGUUAUUCGGAAUCACUGGGCGUAAAGGGUGCGUAGGCGGGUCUUUAAGUCAGGGGUGAAAUCCUGGAGCUCAACUCCAGAACUGCCUUUGAUACUGAAGAUCUUGAGUUCGGGAGAGGUGAGUGGAACUGCGAGUGUAGAGGUGAAAUUCGUAGAUAUUCGCAAGAACACCAGUGGCGAAGGCGGCUCACUGGCCCGAUACUGACGCUGAGGCACGAAAGCGUGGGGAGCAAACCGG
rnacentral:rRNA from 1 species